rnacentral:misc_RNA from 1 species
GUGGUGGUGGUGGUGGUGAUGGUGUUGGUGACUCAAAGCGGUCUCAAGAGCGUCGACUCUAGCUCCAACCUCGGUUGCUUUUUUCCUUAUCGAAGCGGCCGACAUGUCACCGCAUACUCCGCCGAUGCUUUCUCCCGCCAAAAACUCGGGGAAAUUAAGCCUCGCCGACGGUCCUCUCAAAUAGAAGACCGCCGUGUCAUAGGCCCGAGCCGCAGCCACGGGAGUUGAAUAUGAGCCGAGCCAAAUCCUCGAGCGCUUGUUGGGUUCUCUUAUCUCAGCCACCCAUUUGCCCCACUUCCUCAUCCUUAUCCCCUUGUACUGUCUGUCGCCGUCCACCGCUCCAUCUCCUCGCUUCCUCGUGGCCAUCGCCUUCUCCACUCCAUUUUCCAUCGCUUCAAAAAAAAAAAAAUUAAAUCGACCAACCACUCAAUAUUCCCAAACACCCACUUCCCUCUCCAGAAGCAGAAAAGGUCGCGAUGAUCCCAACUUCGGAAAUCAGCAAGCUUUCAUGGUACAAAAGAUUCGUGCAGCUAUGGGUUUAUGGCUAUAGCCGGGUAUGAAAAGGGCCAGCCAUCUGGGUAAUCUUACACGUUAAUGGCGAUUUUUGUUUUGUAUUUUUUAUAAAAAAAAAGAUGGGUGAUAAAAAAUCAGAAAAUCCAAAUUCACCGACACAGAUCUUUGUGGAAAUUGUUUAAAAGCAAAGGAGGGUAUGAGUGUGAAGGGUGUGUUUAUGUUGUUUUGCCCUGUAUG